rfam:Pythium ultimum DAOM BR144 ctg_1117875579404, whole genome shotgun sequence.
AUGACCGUACUUAAACAGGAUCUUUUCUAUAGUACACUCAUUUCUACUUGGUUUUCCAACGUAGACAAUCUCAAUAACUUUGAUGAUCGUAUUAGGCCCCACUCAUUGACUCGGGAUGUCGCAGUGCCGCCGACUGGUUUCUUCUUUUUUUAUUUGUAUAUAAAGGAAGAGAAAACGGGACGCGGCGCUCCUUGAUGAACGUCCGCUGUCGCUAUUCCAAGGCAGCGUGAGUGAGUGUGGGCGAUAUGAGAAGU